GGCAUCUUGGUGCUUAUCACAGGCUGUGUUCUUGCAGUGACUGUAUAGAAAAAUGAGCCAAAGUAAACCUACGCCAUGUGCACCUCAGCCAAGGCCCUGUGCCUGAUCUGUACUGUGAAAGGGAAGACAUGG
rnacentral:snoRNA from 1 species